GGGCUCGUGGUCUAGCCGGCCUAUGACACCGCCUUUACACGGCGGGGAUCCUGGAUUCGAAUUCCAGCGGGCCCA
rnacentral:tRNA from 1 species